CGAUUCUGGCUCAGGAUAAACGCUGGCGGCGUGCUUAACACAUGCAAGUCGAACGGGGUAUCCUUCGGACGAUUGAAGAGCUUGCUCGGAGAGAAUCUUGGAAUACUUAGUGGCGGACGGGUGAGUAACGCGUGGGUAACCUGCCUCACACUGGGGGAUAGCAGUUGGAAACGACUGAUAAUACCGCGUAAGCGCACGGUAUCGCAUGAUACAGUGUGAAAAACUCCGGUGGUGUGAGAUGGACCCGCGUCUGAUUAGCUAGUUGGUGAGGUAACGGCCCACCAAGGCGACGAUCAGUAGCCGGCCUGAGAGGGUGUACGGCCACAUUGGGACUGAGACACGGCCCAAACUCCUACGGGAGGCAGCAGUGGGGAAUAUUGCACAAUGGGGGAAACCCUGAUGCAGCCGACGCCGCGUGAGUGAUGAAGUAUUUCGGUAUGUAAAGCUCUAUCAGCAGGGAAGAUAAUGACGGUACCUGACUAAGAAGCACCGGCUAAAUACGUGCCAGCCGCGGC
rnacentral:rRNA from 1 species